GACAGGACUCAGGACAAUCUCCAGCAUGGCCAGCUUCCCUCUCCUCCUCACCCUCCUCACUCACUGUGCAGGGUCCUGGGCCCAGUCUGUGCUGACUCAGCCACCCUCAGCGUCUGGGACCCCCGGGCAGAGGGUCACCAUCUCUUGUUCUGGAAGCAGCUCCAACAUCGGAAGUAAUACUGUAAACUGGUACCAGCAGCUCCCAGGAACGGCCCCCAAACUCCUCAUCUAUAGUAAUAAUCAGCGGCCCUCAGGGGUCCCUGACCGAUUCUCUGGCUCCAAGUCUGGCACCUCAGCCUCCCUGGCCAUCAGUGGGCUCCAGUCUGAGGAUGAGGCUGAUUAUUACUGUGCAGCAUGGGAUGACAGCCUGAAUGGCUUGUCCUUGAGGGGCUGCAGAUAAUGACAGCUGGGAAGCCAUCAUCUGUCAGCCCAAGGCUGCCCCCUCGGUCACUCUGUUCCCGCCCUCCUCUGAGGAGCUUCAAGCCAACAAGGCCACACUGGUGUGUCUCAUAAGUGACUUCUACCCGGGAGCCGUGACAGUGGCCUGGAAGGCAGAUAGCAGCCCCGUCAAGGCGGGAGUGGAGACCACCACACCCUCCAAACAAAGCAACAACAAGUACGCGGCCAGCAGCUAUCUGAGCCUGACGCCUGAGCAGUGGAAGUCCCACAGAAGCUACAGCUGCCAGGUCACGCAUGAAGGGAGCACCGUGGAGAAGACAGUGGCCCCUACAGAAUGUUCAUAGGUUCUCAACCCUCACCCCCCACCACGGGAGACUAGAGCUGCAGGAUCCCAGGGGAGGGGUCUCUCCUCCCACCCCAAGGCAUCAAGCCCUUCUCCCUGCACUCAAUAAACCCUCAAUAAAUAUUCUCAUUGUCAA
rnacentral:lncRNA from 1 species